rfam:Acyrthosiphon pisum strain LSR1 Contig24126, whole genome shotgun sequence.
CCGUGUUCUGUGACUGACUCGGCUUGCGUCGGGCUGGCGGGCGCCCGCCGGUCCGUCACAGAACACGGGA